UAAUACCUAGAAGAUAAGUUUGUUUUACAUAAAACCGACUAUGGAAUAAUUUAGGGAGAAUAAUUAUAUAUGGAGUUGAAUGCUGGCUCUUUAUUAGUCAGAAUCCUGAAAUAUAUAUGUUUCUUACCACCUGCGAGUGAGCGGGAUUUUAUUCACAAACAGGCUUUCUCUCUGGGUUUUUA
rnacentral:other from 1 species